UCUCCACGUAACACCACCGCACGUGUGGUGGCGUGGACAGCUCACUAGUGGAGCACUGGCUACUCNNNNNNNNNNNNNNNNNNNNNNNNNNNNNNNNNNNNNNNNNNNNNNNNNNNNNNNNNNNNNNNNNNNNNNNNNNNNNNNNNNNNNNNNNNNNNNNAUAGUGAUUCCGUGAGUAGUGGUGAGCGAAAGCGGAUGAGGCUAAACCGGGCAUGUGUGAUAGCCGGCGGGCGUUGCAUGUUCGGGGUCGUGGGACUCUGCUGAAGGUUCUGCCGGACCUUCGAGAAGUCAAAAAUCCAGCUUGUAGUUGAAGCCUCUGGGAAGGGGCGCCGUAGACCGUGAGAGCCGGGUAGGCGAAACGGGCUGGACUUCUGUGGAUGUUCCCAAGUAGCACGGGGCCCGAGAAAUCCUGUGUGAAUCUGCCAGGACCACCUGGUAAGCCUAAAUACUCCCUGAUGACCGAUAGUGCACGAGUACCGUGAGGGAAAGGUGAAAAGUGCCCCGGUGAGGGGUCGUGAAAUAGUACCUGAAACCGUGUGCCUACAAGCCGUAGGAGCUUACAUCAGCUUGUCUGGUGUGUGAUGUGACUGCGUGCCUUUUGAAGAAUGAGCCUGCGAGUUAUGGUGUGUGGCGAGGUUAACCCGUGUGGGGGAGCCGUAGCGAAAGCGAGUCUGAAGAGGGCGUUUGAGUCGCAUGCUGUAGACCCGAAGCGGAGUGAUCUAGGCAUGGGCAGGUUGAAGCGCGGGUAAGACCGCGUGGAGGACCGAACCCACCAGGGUUGAAAACCUGGGGGAUGACCUGUGUUUAGGGGUGAAAGGCCAAUCAAACUCCGUGAUAGCUGGUUCUCCCCGAAAUGCAUUUAGGUGCAGCGUCACGUGUUUCUUGCCGGAGGUAGAGCACUGGAUGGCCGAUGGGCCCGACAAGGUUACUGACGUCAGCCAAACUCCGAAUGCCGGUAAGUGAGAGCGUGGCAGUGAGACUGUGGGGGAUAAGCUCCAUGGUCGAGAGGGAAACAGCCCAGAUCACCGACUAAGGCCCCUAAGCGUGUGCUAAGUGGGAAAGGAUGUGGAGUCGCAGAGACAACCAGGAGGUUGGCUUAGAAGCAGCCACCCUUGAAAGAGUGCGUAAUAGCUCACUGGUCAAGUGAUUCCGCGCCGACAAUGUAGCGGGGCUCAAGUACACCGCCGAAGUCGUGGCAUUGACGGUCGUUAGAUCGUUGAUGGGUAGGGGAGCGUCGUGCAGCCGGCGAAGCAGCAGAGUGAUCUAGUUGUGGAGGCUGUGCGAGUGAGAAUGCAGGCAUGAGUAGCGAAUCGAGGGUGAGAAACCCUCGCGCCGGAUGACCAAGGGUUCCUGGGCCAGGCUAAUCCGCCCAGGGUAAGUCGGGACCUAAGGCGAGGCCGACAGGCGUAGUCGAUGGACAACGGGUUGAUAUUCCCGUACCCGCUUCAAUGCGCCCAUAUCGAACCCAGUGAUACUAAGGGUCCUUAGCUCGGACUGAUGCCCUUCGGGGAUAGGUUGUCAGAGUGAACGCCUGACCUGAUCUGGUAGUAGGUAAGCGAUGGGGUGACGCAGGAAGGUAGUCCAGCCCAGGCGAUGGUAGUCCUGGGGUAAGCAUGUAGGGCGAAUCGUAGGCAAAUCCGCGAUUCAUAUGCCUGAGGUGUGAUGCCGAGCCGAUUGUGGCGAAGUGGAUGAUCCUAUGCUGCCGAGAAAAGCCUCUAGUGAGUGUUGUGGCGGCCCGUACCCUAAACCGACUCAGGUGGUCAGGUAGAGAAUACCAAGGCGAUCGGGUGAACUGUGGUUAAGGAACUCGGCAAAUUGCCCCCGUAACUUCGGGAGAAGGGGGGCCUCUGCUGGUGUAGGUCUUUACGGCCGAAGCUGGUGGGGGCCGCAGUGGCCAGGGGGAAGCGACUGUUUACUAAAAACACAGGUCCGUGCGAAGUCGUAAGACGAUGUAUACGGACUGACGCCUGCCCGGUGCCGGAACGUUAAGGGGACCGCUUAGC
rnacentral:rRNA from 1 species